CCCCUGCAGCAGAGCGUGGCUCCGCCCGGCUCCAGACCAUAUUUAUAAGAGCGGCAGAUCCUCGGUACUGGUUUGGCACAAGACUUCCCGAGCAGGACAUGUAAUCCACAAAAUUUAGCGAGUAUCCAGGCUUUGCUUCUUGUGAGAUUAAACGAAGAUGAUGGUCUUAAAAUGGUUUUACCACAAGAAAGCUUCCCCUACAAGGAUUAUACCUGUUGUCCUCCCCCCGAGGCCUCACACUGCCAGUCUGAGGAGUAAAAUGAUAGAUCCUGAAGGUUUACCACAGAUCAUGGGGAGACAAGACAGACUCGUGAGCUCAUAACCACGUCCUCACCUGAUGAAGGGUCUUGAGAUGGCGAGGACGGUCCGGAUGAACCACGUGGGUUGCCCAAAGUGCUCUGAUUGUAUCUGCCUUACUUCCUGUCAAUCAUCUGGUAGCACCUCUUCAGCCAGCUGAUGCCGGGCAUCUUCCUGCGAGGAGUGGCUCCGUUCAGGUAGACGAUCAUGUAAUCUUCUGCCACCAGAAGCUCCAGGCUGCUCACCACAUAUCUGACAACAGAGCAGACAAACUCACAUCUGACUCGGGCUGGAGAGAAAAGCAAGGAUUCUUGAAAGCAAUGUGAGGGUACGGCCUGAUGACCUGCAUGUCGAUCCUCUGCUCCUGAUCGCCGAUGAUCACCGUUCGCCACAGACGACCCGACGAGUCUCUCUCCUCCUCGCUGUCGCCUGGAAGACGUUUGGCGGUGGCCACCGGCGUGUCAUCUGGAUUCAAAGGUGACGCAAGAAAGUUGAUGCUCGUUGCCGUUGUUGAUGAACUCCAGCGAGUCGGUAUCAUCGGGGGUCUCGAUGUCUUCUACGUUGAUGUCCAGGUCGUCGGGCGUUUCCAGAAAAUCGUCAGAGAGCACGGAGCCCUCGCUCUGAUCCAGGGACAGGUUCAUGUCGGGGGCCACCAGGGUGCGACGUUUAUGCUGCGCCACGCUCUCUCCCACAUUCAGAGAGGCGGGGGGGUCUGAAAGCAACAGAACAGGAAAGUUUAGAUACAAAGUGAAGUAGUAAUUUAAAACAAAAUCAUAUUCAAUGCUGUGUGUUUAGUUACAUUUUCUGUUGUCGGUGAGGCCACAUGAAGAAUCAACAUCUCCAUCUUCUGGUAGAGGCCUGCAGGGAGAAACAGGAAUAUUUAACAUGGAGAAGGACAAUAACAACAGAAACAUUAUAAAUUAGAAAUGAACUGAUAUAAAUACAGCAGUUUCUCUUUGCACAUUUUUUUUUCUGCUGCUUAGUCAAAGGUUACUUUAGCCUUAUUGAUUGCAAGCAUGUUAAAAAACAUACUGUAAUAAAAGAUGCUAAAAUAAACUCUACAGGAUCUCUUGA